rnacentral:tRNA from 1 species
GGGAAUGUAGCUUAGUAGUAGAGCACUUACCUUGCAAGGUAGAGGUCCUAGGUUUGAUCCCCAGUCCCA